rnacentral:lncRNA from 1 species
GACGCGGCCCUGUUCGAGGGGGCCUCUCUUGUUUAUUUAUUUAUUUUCCGUGGGUGCCUCCGAGUGUGCGCGCGCUCUCGCUACCCGGCGGGGAGGGGGUGGGGGGAGGGCCCGGGAAAAGGGGGAGUUGGAGCCGGGGUCGAAACGCCGCGUGACUUGUAGGUGAGAGAACGCCGAGCCGUCGCCGCAGCCUCCGCCGCCGAGAAGCCCUUGUUCCCGCUGCUGGGAAGGAGAGUCUGUGCCGACAAGAUGGCGGACGGGGAGCUGAACGUGGACAGCCUCAUCACCCGGCUGCUGGAGGUACGAGGAUGUCGUCCAGGAAAGAUUGUGCAGAUGACUGAAGCAGAAGUUCGAGGCUUAUGUAUCAAGUCUCGGGAGAUCUUUCUCAGCCAGCCUAUUCUUUUGGAAUUGGAAGCACCGCUGAAAAUUUGUGGAAUUCAGGAACAGCUUAGUGGGUCCUCUGGCUCUGGGUCUCUCACAAGGCUCCAAUUAAGGCGUGAUCUCGGGCUGCAGUCAUCUGAAGGUUGAACUGUGAAAGGAUUCAGUUCCUUAUAGACUGAUGGACUAAGAGCCUCAGUUCCAAAUGAGCUGUUGGUCAGAGGCCUCCCUCAGUUCUUUGCUACGUGGGAUGCUUCAUUAGACAGCUGGUUUCAUCAGCGAGCAUGGAAGAAGGAGAUAUUCAUGGACAAUAUACAGAUUUACUGAGAUUAUUUGAAUAUGGAGGUUUCCCACCAGAAGCCAACUAUCUUUUCUUAGGAGAUUAUGUGGACAGAGGAAAGCAGUCUUUGGAAACCAUUUGUUUGCUAUUGGCUUAUAAAAUCAAAUAUCCAGAGAACUUCUUUCUCUUAAGAGGAAACCAUGAGUGUGCUAGCAUCAAUCGCAUUUAUGGAUUCUAUGAUGAAUGCAAACGAAGAUUUAAUAUUAAAUUGUGGAAGACCUUCACUGAUUGUUUUAACUGUCUGCCUAUAGCAGCCAUUGUGGAUGAGAAGAUCUUCUGUUGUCAUGGAGGAUUGUCACCAGACCUGCAAUCUAUGGAGCAGAUUCGGAGAAUUAUGAGACCUACUGAUGUCCCUGAUACAGGUUUGCUCUGUGAUUUGCUAUGGUCUGAUCCAGAUAAGGAUGUGCAAGGCUGGGGAGAAAAUGAUCGUGGUGUUUCCUUUACUUUUGGAGCUGAUGUAGUCAGUAAAUUUCUGAAUCGUCAUGAUUUAGAUUUGAUUUGUCGAGCUCAUCAGGUGGUGGAAGAUGGAUAUGAAUUUUUUGCUAAACGACAGUUGGUAACCUUAUUUUCAGCCCCAAAUUACUGUGGCGAGUUUGAUAAUGCUGGUGGAAUGAUGAGUGUGGAUGAAACUUUGAUGUGUUCAUUUCAGAUAUUGAAACCAUCUGAAAAGAAAGCUAAAUACCAGUAUGGUGGACUGAAUUCUGGACGUCCUGUCACUCCACCUCGAACAGCUAAUCCGCCGAAGAAAAGGUGAAGAAAGGAAUUCUGUAAAGAAACCAUCAGAUUUGUUAAGGACAUACUUCAUAAUAUAUAAGUGUGCACUGUAAAACCAUCCAGCCAUUUGACACCCUUUAUGAUGUCACACCUUUAACUUAAGGAGACGGGUAAAGGAUCUUAAAUUUUUUUCUAAUAGAAAGAUGUGCUACACUGUAUUGUAAUAAGUAUACUCUGUUAUAGUCAACAAAGUUAAAUCCAAAUUCAAAAUUAUCCAUUAAAGUUACAUCUUCAUGUAUCACAAUUUUUAAAGUUGAAAAGCAUCCCAGUUAAACUAGAUGUGAUAGUUAAACCAGAUGAAAGCAUGAUGAUCCAUCUGUGUAAUGUGGUUUUAGUGUUGCUUGGUUGUUUAAUUAUUUUGAGCUUGUUUUGUUUUUGUUUGUUUUCACUAGAAUAAUGGCAAAUACUUCUAAUUUUUUUCCCUAAACAUUUUUAAAAGUGAAAUAUGGGAAGAGCUUUACAGACAUUCACCAACUAUUAUUUUCCCUUGUUUAUCUACUUAGAUAUCUGUUUAAUCUUACUAAGAAAACUUUCGCCUCAUUACAUUAAAAAGGAAUUUUAGAGAUUGAUUGUUUU